rnacentral:sRNA from 1 species
AGAUAGCUGCGGGAGCGAUAGAAACGGCAUCCUUUUUAUGGUUGGCGUGGUAAUUUGCCUGGUGUAUAACCAAAAGUUGUCUAGGGGAACGACGUUUUAAUUCUAAAUGAAACUAAUAAAAAGAUAUAGUGGAUAGCGCGGUUUUAA